CUCUCUCUCUGGCAGUUGCUGCAGCCAAAUUUUGCUCCUACUCCCUUAAGGUCCCCACGUCAAGAAUUUUAUGCUAUUAGUUUCUUAAUCCCAGUGUUCUCCUUGUUCUCUACUAUAUAUGCCUGCUCUCCUCUCGAUUUCCUUUCUUCAGCUUCCCAACAGUUUACUACCAACACCAUACCUAUAUUUCCUUGUUCUAUUUUUUUCAUCUUUAUUUCAAAGCACUAGUACACAGAUGGAAGUUCGCUCCAUGAACUCCAUGAUUGGAAGAGGUAAUUCUUCUAAUACAAGAACCACUACUCAAGAAUCCCCUCAGGAGAGUAGUUGGACUAUGUACUUGCAAGAUUCUUGAUAAGCAGUAAUCAUGAGGAUGAUGACGAUGACCGCAGUUCUUUCUCCUUGUACGAUUAUGAAAAAUGUUCCAUAAUCUCUGGCGCUGCUUCCUCAGUCGCCAGAAAGUCGAGUACUAUUAAAGGAGAAGUUUUAGGGUUUGGCGUGGAUGGAGGUUAUAAUAGAUCUAGCUUCAUGAUUAAGAGAAAACCCAAAGAAGCUGUGCUUGAGGAUGCUUUGGAAGACACAGCUAGUUCUCCAGUAAAUACUCCCAAGGUUUGCAAUCACAGCGAGUCAAAUGUGGAAUCAACACUGCAAAAAGAUGACAAAGACAUAUCUAAUGCGGAGAAAGGAAGUACUUCUGGCAGGAUGGAUGAGAGAACUGAAUCGGGCUUUAUCGGGAGAGAGUGACUGCACAGAACUGAAGACAAGAGGACGUUGCUUAGUUCCAUUCUCUAUGAUAGCAAACUAUUUUGGAUGAAUUAUUGUUAUCAUCAUCCAUAUACUAGUACUUCAGUUAAAACAUACAUCUCUCUCUCUCUCUCUCUCUCUCUCUCUCUCAUUGCUGUUGAGGAAGCACACUUCAUGUAUCAAUUUCAGCAAGAACAAAACCAAAACCAGUUGUCCAGCAACUGUAGACUAUAUGUAGUCUUUUCCCGUUAAGUUUAUAAUAUGAUCACAAUAAUAUUGGCCGCAUAUCUAAACUGUAAUUCAAUUUUACAAGGUCGAAGGAUCAACAGUA